UACAGAGGUCUCAAGCGUUGUUCGGAAUUACUGGGCGUAAAGGGCUCGUAGGCGGCCAACUAAGUCCGACGUGAAAUCCCCAGGCUUAACCUGGGAACUGCGUCGGAUACUGGAUGGCUUGAAUCCGGGAGAGGGAUGCGGAAUUCCAGGUGUAGCGGUGAAAUGCGUAGAUAUCUGGAGGAACACCGGUGGCGAAGGCGGCAUCCUGGACCGGCAUUGACGCUGAUGAGCGAAAGCCAGGGGAGCAAACGGG
rnacentral:rRNA from 1 species